rnacentral:rRNA from 1 species
GGUUAAGCGACUAAGCGUACACGGUGGAUGCCCUGGCAGUCAGAGGCGAUGAAGGACGUGCUAAUCUGCGAUAAGCGUCGGUAAGGUGAUAUGAACCGUUAUAACCGGCGAUUUCCGAAUGGGGAAACCCAGUGUGUUUCGACACACUAUCAUUAACUGAAUCCAUAGGUUAAUGAGGCGAACCGGGGGAACUGAAACAUCUAAGUACCCCGAGGAAAAGAAAUCAACCGAGAUUCCCCCAGUAGCGGCGAGCGAACGGGGAGCAGCCCAGAGCCUGAAUCAGUGUGUGUGUUAGUGGAAGCGUCUGGAAAGGCGCGCGAUACAGGGUGACAGCCCCGUACACAAAAAUGCACAUGCUGUGAGCUCGAUGAGUAGGGCGGGACACGUGGUAUCCUGUCUGAAUAUGGGGGGACCAUCCUCCAAGGCUAAAUACUCCUGACUGACCGAUAGUGAACCAGUACCGUGAGGGAAAGGCGAAAAGAACCCCGGCGAGGGGAGUGAAAAAGAACCUGAAACCGUGUACGUACAAGCAGUGGGAGCACGCUUCGGCGUGUGACUGCGUACCUUUUGUAUAAUGGGUCAGCGACUUAUAUUCUGUAGCAAGGUUAACCGAAUAGGGGAGCCGAAGGGAAACCGAGUCUUAACUGGGCGUUAAGUUGCAGGGUAUAGACCCGAAACCCGGUGAUCUAGCCAUGGGCAGGUUGAAGGUUGGGUAACACUAACUGGAGGACCGAACCGACUAAUGUUGAAAAAUUAGCGGAUGACUUGUGGCUGGGGGUGAAAGGCCAAUCAAACCGGGAGAUAGCUGGUUCUCCCCGAAAGCUAUUUAGGUAGCGCCUCGUGAAUUCAUCUCCGGGGGUAGAGCACUGUUUCGGCAAGGGGGUCAUCCCGACUUACCAACCCGAUGCAAACUGCGAAUACCGGAGAAUGUUAUCACGGGAGACACACGGCGGGUGCUAACGUCCGUCGUGAAGAGGGAAACAACCCAGACCGCCAGCUAAGGUCCCAAAGUCAUGGUUAAGUGGGAAACGAUGUGGGAAGGCCCAGACAGCCAGGAUGUUGGCUUAGAAGCAGCCAUCAUUUAAAGAAAGCGUAAUAGCUCACUGGUCGAGUCGGCCUGCGCGGAAGAUGUAACGGGGCUAAACCAUGCACCGAAGCUGCGGCAGCGACGCUUAUGCGUUGUUGGGUAGGGGAGCGUUCUGUAAGCCUGUGAAGGUGUGCUGUGAGGCAUGCUGGAGGUAUCAGAAGUGCGAAUGCUGACAUAAGUAACGAUAAAGCGGGUGAAAAGCCCGCUCGCCGGAAGACCAAGGGUUCCUGUCCAACGUUAAUCGGGGCAGGGUGAGUCGACCCCUAAGGCGAGGCCGAAAGGCGUAGUCGAUGGGAAACAGGUUAAUAUUCCUGUACUUGGUGUUACUGCGAAGGGGGGACGGAGAAGGCUAUGUUGGCCGGGCGACGGUUGUCCCGGUUUAAGCGUGUAGGCUGGUUUUCCAGGCAAAUCCGGAAAAUCAAGGCUGAGGCGUGAUGACGAGGCACUACGGUGCUGAAGCAACAAAUGCCCUGCUUCCAGGAAAAGCCUCUAAGCAUCAGGUAACAUCAAAUCGUACCCCAAACCGACACAGGUGGUCAGGUAGAGAAUACCAAGGCGCUUGAGAGAACUCGGGUGAAGGAACUAGGCAAAAUGGUGCCGUAACUUCGGGAGAAGGCACGCUGAUAUGUAGGUGAAGUCCCUCGCGGAUGGAGCUGAAAUCAGUCGAAGAUACCAGCUGGCUGCAACUGUUUAUUAAAAACACAGCACUGUGCAAACACGAAAGUGGACGUAUACGGUGUGACGCCUGCCCGGUGCCGGAAGGUUAAUUGAUGGGGU